rnacentral:tRNA from 1 species
CGCGGGGUAGUCUAAUGGUAAGAUACUGGGCUCAUAACCCAGGGACAGAUGAUGCUUGUGCCAGUCCGACUCUGGCCCCCGCUA